AUCUGCGGCCAUACCGUGAUGAACAUUCCGCGUCCCGUCCGAUCCGCGCAGACAAGCAUCACAGGGGCCAGAGAGUAUUGACGUGGGUGACCAGUCGAGAACACUGUGCUGCCGCAGGU
rnacentral:rRNA from 13 species